rnacentral:rRNA from 1 species
UACAGAGGUCCCGAGCGUUGUUCGGAUUCAUUGGGCGUAAAGGGUGCGUAGGCGGGGAAGUAAGUUUGAUGUGAAAUCCCGGGGCUCAACCUCUGGACUGCAUUGAAUACUGCAUCCCUAGAGUACUGGAGAGGAAACUGGAAUUUACGGUGUAGCAGUGAAAUGCGUAGAGAUCGUAAGGAAGACCAGUGGCGAAGGCGAGUUUCUGGACAGUUACUGACGCUGAGGCACGAAGGCCAGGGGAGCAAACGGG